GUUUGAGGUAUGCGGCUGCAUUCCAGAAGUUACUCGGGUCGACACAACACACAUCAGAUUGUUGCAUGUGAAGGUCGAAAGCUACUCCUAUGUGUUUUAGAGCUAGCUGCGGACCAGUACAGCGUCACUGUUUCUGAGAAUGCGCGGUAUAUACUCCGAAUUCAUGGCGUUAAUGCUUUACGAACACACGCAGAUGACCCCAUACUGAUGUAAACACCGUCACACUAAAGCGAAGCAGUGACCAGUGGUUCUGAUGUCUCGCAGCCCAAAUGUCACUGUCGUCUGCUGUUGCCAUGUCGAGAAUCGUACUUGCGCCCGUUCCACAACCUACCCGAGGGUUUUCCUACUCUCAGGGUCCCAUGGUACAACACUGACAUCUGGCCCACUCCUACUCGAGAGUUGUGGAAUGCAGCUGGUUUAUUCACAUGACGUCAUCCACAUGGCGCCCGCCACUUCCGCUAGCAGGCUUGCCAUCAUAAUGUAGAUCCACAGAUUUUGACUGCCCAGGCCUUCACCCACAUCACGUUCACCUCCUAUUAAUAGCAUGAAGGCGGCGAACGACACAGGAACCACGCUUCGAGGGACAUACAUCAUGGCAACAAUUUCGGCUUUUCGAAGCCAGUGCUCUCUGGGGGAGUGACGUCAGUGAAUAGACCCUAUAGACCAUCUGCCCCGUGGGCGCCGCCACAUUGAAAGUGCAGCACCGUCUAGCCUGGGGAGCAUGUUGAAAACUGUUCAUCUUUUCCACCGCUCAAGCCAGAUGGAAGGAAAGCAUACAGGCCGUAUUCUUCCUCCUUGGUAUCGUUUUUCUGCCGGCUAGCUUGGGCAGAUUGCAAAAGCGCUGGGUGUGAGUUUGGUUGGGAAACAGUGUAUACAACGAACCUCACACACAGUGCUUUUGCAAUCUGCAAAAGCAAGCUGGCACCUGGAUUAAAUCAGAUGGCACUUGGAGUAAUAUGGGCGGGAAAACCUGUAGUAGGGUGCCGUUCAUUGUGUAGGAUACAGACUUUAAGCUUUUCUCUAAAACCAUGAAUUUUGCAUUCCAAAACUGUAAUUCACAUACGUAAGGCUCUCGGUGCUGAAAGCCACGAUUUAUUUCCAAUUGCAGCUUGAAAUGAUCCAAACCCUUCGACAAUAAUCUUUGACCUUUCCUUUGCGAAGUUUCGCUAGCAAAGUAUAGCAGCCGCUCGUAAUGUCACGAUGAAUGCUCUCCCAGUAUGCGCACAGUACCUCUGUUCAGAAGCGAAAUAACCCAUACUUUAUCUGGAAACCCCUGUUCAACGAGUUGCCACUAUCGAUCAAAGCCGAAUUCAAGUGAUAUAGAAAGAAAGGAGAUUCAGCAAAUCUGUCCUUCUGCCAAUGCUCACGCUUUCAAGAAAUGAGUGUAGAAGCAGGUACGUGCCUCGACGGUGGAACGCAUAUUUAAUAAUCAUUAAUUAAUGAAAACACUUAACAUGCACACAUGAGAACAGGUCAUUUGGAACGGGGAACAUUUAACAAUGCAAAAAUUUAUGAAGGCACAGCUCACGUCAACUUCAAUAAUACCACCGGAAAAAAUGUGGUCUCGUUCCCGAGCGAGAUUACAGCGCCCCCAGGGGCCAUGAGGAAAUCUUAGUUGAACAAAACUGUUCUGUUAAUUUAACAUUCCCCAGUGCCCCCAGGAUGGUGGUUAUUGCGCUCGCAAAUCAGACCGAAUUCUUUCCAGUGUUAUUAUUAAGGUUGACCGGAGCUGUACUGUAUUCCUUUCCAGUAGAAUCAGGCACACCUCCACAAAGCCAGCUUUGAGAGCUUGCACAACUUUUGUGUUUUGUUUUAAUUUUUCUUGAGCUGCUUGCAAUACUGUCGCAUUCGUAUUGCAACAUAGCAAUGCAGCACCUGCGCCGUUAUGUCCACUUUGCAUUAAUCGCGAGGGAGUGUCAAGUUGUCGUCUGGUAUGUAGUCAAUUACCAAAUCAUACGCUUGCUUAUCAGAAGCACUUUAACGAAAGUUUUGUUCUGCCUCUUUCAGAAGAGAGAACACGGCAAUAUUUGGAUGCACAAGUCCACCUUGUGUCUUGCACAAUAGAAGGGCCAGGUCUUGCAGUAUCCCUAGCACCUGUCAUAGUGAACAGUUGGUGGUUUUAAGGAUUCUUUGGCGCACACACCCAGUUACAUAAUAAAUUAUACAGUCGGUUACGCUGCUCAGUGCAGGUGCACCAUCAAAUACGGUCUCACAUUCAGUCUCGAUUUCCACAAGGCUAUCAAGCUUCCAUUUUUGUUGCUCCAAUCUAGAAUGGGAGGGUUUGUCUUCCUGAAAUGGCAGUGUCGAUCAGACAUGCUCAUCAGAUGUGGCUCUUCAGUUUAAUGAAUUUCAUAGUUACCAUAUUUAGGUGGUUUCACAAGACUGUAAAUAGAGAGCAUGUUGUACAGCUGCAAAAAAGUGGGCAAACAGGGAUGUUCAUUCUGGCCACCUGCUUGACAUAUGAUGCAAAAAUUUUCUUUUCAAGAACAUCUUGCAUUCUGCGUCUCUUAAGGCCGUUAACACUCACCUUGACACACUUGAUGGCUCGCACACACAGCAAAAUACAGAAAUACGUCAACUGAAGAUCCAGCUUAAUGAGCUUGACCAAUAUGGGCGUCGCAAUAAUGUUGAAAUUCGCGGGGUUCCAGCUUCGGUGGGGGAAGACCUACUUAAAGUUGUGAAUGAAAUCGCCCUUGAACUACAACUUCCCAUCUUAACAGCAUCAGACUACGAAGCGAUCCACAGAUUACCAUCGAAGUCAAGCGACGGUAUGCCUCCUAUAAUUGUAAGAUUUCUUGACAGAAAGAUACGCGACGCUUGGCUUGGUCGGAAGAGUAGACUAAAAUCUACAUCACAAUCUAGUACGGUUUUCUUGUGCGAAAAUCUGACAUCUGAAAACAAGAAACUUCUGUGGCAGACUCGGCUAUCAGCCAAAGAAAAAGGCUAUCAGUUUGUUUGGGUGAAGAAUGGGCGUAUUUUUGUGAGGCGUGCAGAUGGUACGAAUGCCAUUCGAAUUUCACACGCCGAUAACCUCACGACACUGUAGAGCGCUGCCUUGCGGCAACUUUGCUGGUACCUUUUGUGUUGCUUCAGGUGUUUAUUGUACUCUUUCUUUUUACCUUCGAACUUUCAUUGAUGACCUUUGUUGCAUUGGAAGACUUGCCUGAUGCUGAUGUGCAUGACUCGCUUACGCUGCAUCUCAAUGUAAGAAGCCGUCCCCAGCACAUUGACGAAGUAAAAUCUGUCAUUACUGCUUUAAAUAGCAAGGUGUCUUUCCUGGGCCUAUCAGAAACAUGGACUCAAAAAUCACAUGAAUCAUUCCUUGAGAUUGAAGGAUUUAAAGCCGAAUUCCGUCAUAGGUGUGAUGGCUACGGCGGUGUCGCGCUUUAUGUUAAUCACAAUAUUUGUUAUUCUGUGAGACAUGACUUGCAUAUUAAUCAAAUUUCGAUACAAAGUGUUUUCAUUGAAAUCCCCAUGUGCCCCGUCUCUGUGUGUUCUUACCCAGGCCGCCCACUGAUCAUUGGCGUUAUCUACAGGUCCCCGAGUAAUGACCUUUGUGCAUUUUUAAGUGACUUUACUGAACUAUUACAUACACUAUGGUCAUCCAAAUAUAACUGCAUUAUCCUUGGUGAUUUUAAUGUGGAUCUAUUGAAAAAUGACGCUGCGUGUAUCUCGUACACUGAAACGUUCACUGCAUUUGGAUUCGCGCAGCUGAUUUCCAACGUAACCCGUUUCAACCAGGAUGGAGGGUCAUUAAUUGACCACGUGAUCACCAACAUUAUUGACUCCAAACUAACUUACGGAGUUGCUGCAUGCGACAUUUCAGACCAUGAAAUUAUUUACAUUGGUGGUUGCUGUGAAAAAGCGGAAUUAGCCGGACAUCAGAUACGCAGCCAUGUGAACUACAAAGCUAUUGAAAGAUCCCUUUCGCAAAUGAUGUGGGGCUUUCAUCGCUUUUCAAAUGUGCGUGAAAAGUUUAGCUUCUUUAUCUCCACUAUUUCCGACGUAAUUAAGCAGUAUUCUACUCAAACCAUAUCUAGUCGGCGCACAGCUGUGAGGCAGCCUUGGAUUACGAAGGCAAUCCUAAGGAGCAUUAAGCACAAAAACAGCAUGUAUAGGAAACUUCGCUUGAACCCGCUAAACACACGUCUUCGUGCUAGAUAUUCUAGGUACAGUAACGUGCUUAGAGAUACCUUGAGGCUUGCAAAGCGAAACUACUUUUCUUCAGCUAUAGACAGCUCUGCUGGUGACCCCAAAUUGAUAUGGCGGACAAUAAACACUGCGCUAUCAAGAAAGCUUAAUGUAACUCCCACUGGUGCGCGCCGGCUAACGCAGAACGGAACGUCUACUACAAACCCGAAGGAAAUUGCAAAUCAGUUCAAUAACUAUUUUUGUAACGUCGCAACUCGUCUUUGUCCGCCUGUAGACCCACUUCCAGCGGCCCCUAUGCCUGCUCGAAAUGACACUUCUUUUUUCUUGACACCGACAGACCGUUCUGAAGUCAUUUCUGUUAUUAACGGGCUGAAACCGCUUAAGUCAUCCGGACAUGACAACAUUUCUCCCAUUUUUCUCAAAAGGUUUUGUAACUAUCUCGCUGAUCCUCUUUCGGAGCUAUUUAACGAAAUAUUCACUGAAGGUAUUUAUCCCCAAGAAUUAAAGACUGCUAAGGUGUUACCUAUCUUUAAAAGUGGGGAUCGUACCGACACUUCCAACUAUCGACCCAUUUCGUUGCUCUCAGCCGUCAGUAAGGUUCUUGAGAAACUUAUCCUACGUCGACUAGAGAGCUUUUUCGAUUUGAACAAGCUGCUUUCUCCAUCUCAAUUUGGUUUCCGCAAAAAUAAGUCCACCAUUAGCGCACUGAUUUAUGCCACAGAAAAGAUCAGAAUGAACAUUGAAGAGAAACUUUUAACUAUAGGUAUUUUCGUCGACCUCCCUAAAGCUUUUGACUUAAUCAAUCACAAAAUUCUACUACAGAAGCUGGAGCGCUAUGGCGUUAGAGGAACACCAUUACAAUUAUUACAGAGCUUCCUGUGCAACAGGGAUCAAUUCGUUAUCCAGGAUGAGAGCUGCUCUGAUGUUGGGUCUAUAGGAGCGGGUGUGCCUCAGGGUUCGAUUCUGGGUCCGUUCUUAUUUCUCGUUUACAUUAACGAUCUACCUAAUCACCUUUCUACCAGCUGUUUUCUCUACGCGGAUGACACCAACAUAUUCAUAGAAUCUGAUAAUCUUUCAUCUCUAUUCUCUAAAGCAAACAGUGUCCUUGACAGGUACCGCUACUGGCUACUGUGUAACAGAUUAGUUAUUAACCUGGAGAAGACAUCAUAUAUCGUCUUUCACCCUCCUCAGAAGCGUCUUGACGUUAGUGACAAACAACUUCACUUCGGGAACUAUGCUCUUACACGUGUUGCUUCAGUGCGCUUUUUAGGUGUAAUUCUACAUGAACAUCUAAACUGGCAGCCACAUAUCACUUCGGUCCGUAACAAAAUAUCUGGAGGGCUUUACGCACUUUCAAAACUACGGCACUUAGUUCCGACCUCAAUACUCCUGAACGUUUACUAUGCGCUGGUGCACUCGCAUAUAAACUACGGCCUCGAGGUAUAUGGCCUGACGUACACUUCUCAUCUUCGUCCCUUACUCGUAGCCCAGAAGCGAGCCCUGAGAAUUAUGCUUUCUUUGAACCCCCGGGACCAUGUGUCAUUUGCGUUUCCUCUACUCUCUGUGCUUAACAUCUUCGACCUCCUGAAAUAUAAGAUGUCACUAUUGAUGCAUACUUUUUUCUAUGGGACAGCCGACCGAUUCGAACUGCAGCUGCACAUUCCUCCCACAUCUUACUCCCUUAGGAGUCUACAACUUUCUCUCUACAGCCCCACCUUCCGCACUAACCUUGGAUUCUUCUCUGUUUCUGCUUUUGGCACUCGUCUGUGGAACGAGCUUCCUAUUGCCAUACGAUCCAUCGAUAAGUAUGCAGCGUUCAAACACUCUUGCCGAGCCUAUUUUCGAGGCAGUUAUGUUGAUCCUUGUGUUUAAAAAUGUAUAAUCAUGCAUAGGUUAUGUACAUAUCCGUUACCUUUUGCAGUUUCUGUGUCUUCUCUUUUUUUUCUUUUUUUUCUUCGAGGUAUGUUAUCUAAUAAUUUAUGUAUGCAUUUUGUUUUCUCUGCUUCCCGCAAGUCAUUUGUGUAAAAUUAUGCACGUGGGUAUAAGGACCGUUUUACAGGGUUCGCCCUCACGGUCCUCUUGUACUUUGUAAUCGUACAUUCCACUAAUAAAGGAAUCUUGAAUCUUGGUUGAA